rnacentral:tRNA from 1 species
GUCGGCGUAGAGAAGCAGUCAUCUCAUCGGCCUCAUAAGUCGAAGAUCGCAGGUGCAAAUCCUGCCGCCGCA